rnacentral:tRNA from 1 species
UGUUUAUAUAGUUUAACCAAAACACUAGACUGUGAACCUAGAAAUAGAAAGAAUUCUUAUAAACC